rnacentral:rRNA from 2 species
GGGUUGUGAGGUUAAGCGACUAAGCGUACACGGUGGAUGCCCUGGCAGUCAGAGGCGAUGAAGGACGUGCUAAUCUGCGAUAAGCGUCGGUAAGGUGAUAUGAACCGUUAUAACCGGCGAUUUCCGAAUGGGGAAACCCAGUGUGUUUCGACACACUAUCAUUAACUGAAUCCAUAGGUUAAUGAGGCGAACCGGGGGAACUGAAACAUCUAAGUACCCCGAGGAAAAGAAAUCAACCGAGAUUCCCCCAGUAGCGGCGAGCGAACGGGGAGGAGCCCAGAGCCUGAAUCAGUGUGUGUGUUAGUGGAAGCAUCUGGAAAGGCGCGCGAUACAGGGUGACAGCCCCGUACACAAAAAUGCACAUGCUGUGAGCUCGAUGAGUAGGGCGGGACACGUGGUAUCCUGUCUGAAUAUGGGGGGACCAUCCUCCAAGGCUAAAUACUCCUGACUGACCGAUAGUGAACCAGUACCGUGAGGGAAAGGCGAAAAGAACCCCGGCGAGGGGAGUGAAAAAGAACCUGAAACCGUGUACGUACAAGCAGUGGGAGCCUCUUUUAUGGGGUGACUGCGUACCUUUUGUAUAAUGGGUCAGCGACUUAUAUUCUGUAGCAAGGUUAACCGAAUAGGGGAGCCGAAGGGAAACCGAGUCUUAACUGGGCGUUAAGUUGCAGGGUAUAGACCCGAAACCCGGUGAUCUAGCCAUGGGCAGGUUGAAGGUUGGGUAACACUAACUGGAGGACCGAACCGACUAAUGUUGAAAAAUUAGCGGAUGACUUGUGGCUGGGGGUGAAAGGCCAAUCAAACCGGGAGAUAGCUGGUUCUCCCCGAAAGCUAUUUAGGUAGCGCCUCGUGAAUUCAUCUCCGGGGGUAGAGCACUGUUUCGGCAAGGGGGUCAUCCCGACUUACCAACCCGAUGCAAACUGCGAAUACCGGAGAAUGUUAUCACGGGAGACACACGGCGGGUGCUAACGUCCGUCGUGAAGAGGGAAACAACCCAGACCGCCAGCUAAGGUCCCAAAGUCAUGGUUAAGUGGGAAACGAUGUGGGAAGGCCCAGACAGCCAGGAUGUUGGCUUAGAAGCAGCCAUCAUUUAAAGAAAGCGUAAUAGCUCACUGGUCGAGUCGGCCUGCGCGGAAGAUGUAACGGGGCUAAACCAUGCACCGAAGCUGCGGCAGCGACGCUUAUGCGUUGUUGGGUAGGGGAGCGUUCUGUAAGCCUGUGAAGGUGUGCUGUGAGGCAUGCUGGAGGUAUCAGAAGUGCGAAUGCUGACAUAAGUAACGAUAAAGCGGGUGAAAAGCCCGCUCGCCGGAAGACCAAGGGUUCCUGUCCAACGUUAAUCGGGGCAGGGUGAGUCGACCCCUAAGGCGAGGCCGAAAGGCGUAGUCGAUGGGAAACAGGUUAAUAUUCCUGUACUUGGUGUUACUGCGAAGGGGGGACGGAGAAGGCUAUGUUGGCCGGGCGACGGUUGUCCCGGUUUAAGCGUGUAGGCUGGUUUUCCAGGCAAAUCCGGAAAAUCAAGGCUGAGGCGUGAUGACGAGGCACUACGGUGCUGAAGCAACAAAUGCCCUGCUUCCAGGAAAAGCCUCUAAGCAUCAGGUAACAUCAAAUCGUACCCCAAACCGACACAGGUGGUCAGGUAGAGAAUACCAAGGCGCUUGAGAGAACUCGGGUGAAGGAACUAGGCAAAAUGGUGCCGUAACUUCGGGAGAAGGCACGCUGAUAUGUAGGUGAAGCGACUUGCUCGUGGAGCUGAAAUCAGUCGAAGAUACCAGCUGGCUGCAACUGUUUAUUAAAAACACAGCACUGUGCAAACACGAAAGUGGACGUAUACGGUGUGACGCCUGCCCGGUGCCGGAAGGUUAAUUGAUGGGGUCAGCGCAAGCGAAGCUCUUGAUCGAAGCCCCGGUAAACGGCGGCCGUAACUAUAACGGUCCUAAGGUAGCGAAAUUCCUUGUCGGGUAAGUUCCGACCUGCACGAAUGGCGUAAUGAUGGCCAGGCUGUCUCCACCCGAGACUCAGUGAAAUUGAACUCGCUGUGAAGAUGCAGUGUACCCGCGGCAAGACGGAAAGACCCCGUGAACCUUUACUAUAGCUUGACACUGAACAUUGAGCCUUGAUGUGUAGGAUAGGUGGGAGGCUUUGAAGUGUGGACGCCAGUCUGCAUGGAGCCGACCUUGAAAUACCACCCUUUAAUGUUUGAUGUUCUAACGUUGACCCGUAAUCCGGGUUGCGGACAGUGUCUGGUGGGUAGUUUGACUGGGGCGGUCUCCUCCUAAAGAGUAACGGAGGAGCACGAAGGUUGGCUAAUCCUGGUCGGACAUCAGGAGGUUAGUGCAAUGGCAUAAGCCAGCUUGACUGCGAGCGUGACGGCGCGAGCAGGUGCGAAAGCAGGUCAUAGUGAUCCGGUGGUUCUGAAUGGAAGGGCCAUCGCUCAACGGAUAAAAGGUACUCCGGGGAUAACAGGCUGAUACCGCCCAAGAGUUCAUAUCGACGGCGGUGUUUGGCACCUCGAUGUCGGCUCAUCACAUCCUGGGGCUGAAGUAGGUCCCAAGGGUAUGGCUGUUCGCCAUUUAAAGUGGUACGCGAGCUGGGUUUAGAACGUCGUGAGACAGUUCGGUCCCUAUCUGCCGUGGGCGCUGGAGAACUGAGGGGGGCUGCUCCUAGUACGAGAGGACCGGAGUGGACGCAUCACUGGUGUUCGGGUUGUCAUGCCAAUGGCACUGCCCGGUAGCUAAAUGCGGAAGAGAUAAGUGCUGAAAGCAUCUAAGCACGAAACUUGCCCCGAGAUGAGUUCUCCCUGACUCCUUGAGAGUCCUGAAGGAACGUUGAAGACGACGACGUUGAUAGGCCGGGUGUGUAAGCGCAGCGAUGCGUUGAGCUAACCGGUACUAAUGAACCGUGAGGCUUAACCUUACAACGCCGAAGGUGUUU